GAGCCCAUUCAUUGUUUUAAGUGUAAUGAUUGUGUACUAAUCAAGUCUUUGGAAAGAAUCUCUUUCUCUUAGGGGAAUCCAUAUAAGGUGAUGUUGGGGAUCUGAGCAGCCGUGGAGAUCAAGGGCCAAGCAGAGUGGGUCCCUGAGAUGCGAUGCCGGUUAGCAACGGUCAACAAGGAGGGGCCUGGACAGGAGUGAUGUGGAUGCUGAUCUUACUCCUGACAGCCACUUCCUGAACGGCAGAGAGAUGAGAAAUCCACCUGGAGCAUCUCCUACAGGAGAAGGCCUCUCGCCCCCUGGGUUUGCUAUGCUGUUUCCCCUGAUCAUCCGAAACCCAACACACUCACCGGUGCAGCCCCAGCACUGUACUCAUACACUGAUACACCAAGUCUGGAGCAAAACAAGAAGACAAUAGACUGUUUGGACUGCUCGUCUCAUACAAACACUGAUAACCUACAGAGAGACGAGAAAGGAGAAAUUGACUCUGUGGACUCAGACUCUGGUUAUCACCCUAUGAAGAACGGCUCGACAGACUUCCUUCGACUGUUUGAACAACAGGUGCAAGGCUAAUGAUUGUUAUAUUGUUCAACCUGGUUAUGAUUCUGAAGGUAACUGGCUCUGGAAGAUCCUCAACCUUGAUCUGGUAGUGUCCAGGGUGUCGUUCCUUGAGCUACAUAAAGUUUCUUGGCAAAAGGUUGAGAUAACCAAUCUUUACCCACUUUCAGAAAUUCCUGACUUUUGGUGUUUCACAUCACAUCAGUUGGACAAUGAUCCUGUGUGUGGUAAUUAUGCAACUAAUCUUAAACUCUUUCCUUUUAGGGGUUUAUAUGUCAACUGAAGAAGAAAACCACCUGUUCAGCUAAAGAUAAAGUAAUGCAUUUUGUGUCAGAGUCUAAACAGACACGCACCAGAAGUAAUAAGAACAUAAUCAAAGUAAGUGUUGGUUGUCUUAGUUAGAGGGUUUUUUUGUUUUGUUUUGUUUUGUUUUGUUUGUUUGUUUGUUUUUUUGGGGGGGGUUGGGUCUUUGUUUGGUCUUUGUAGUGUGUGUUUGUAGAUAUGAUAGUUUGAACUAGGUCGGGUAAAGUCUGUAAGUCUACUGUCUGGUCCACACUCCGGAACAGAAGGUGGCGGUAAUGUACCAAGAAGCUGGAUGCCAACCGCCGUAAAACAAGAAGAAGAAGAAGAAGAAGUGUUGGACGUCUCAACAUAUGCCUAACUCCAUGUAUUCUGCCAUGUUGUUGUUUGCAUUAUUUGUUUGGUUGGUCGAUAGGUCUGUUGUUUGCUAGACCAUUUGUUAUACUGUGCUAGAACUUUGUGCUAAAGAACCAGUGGAUGUGGAUUUAAAUGAAGCAACCAAAGGAAAAUGUAAUAACCCGUUUAAUCCCACUGGCAACAGUUGUUGCCGCUAAUUUUUCUUUUAAUUAUUAUUCUCUAAAAGUGUUGUUUUGGCUUUGGACAGCUAAUGCAAGUUUUAAAAUCAAAGAAUAGGUUGUCUCCUCUAAAUUGCAUCAAUUGCGUCAUGUAACUAGUGUGAAUGGUCACAUGACUAGGCCUCUUUACUUCUUGCCUGCUCCGAUGGAAGGAGAUGUCUGCCUCAAACUUGUACAAGAAGAAUUUAUUUCAAUACCUUAACAGAUAUAAUUGAGAUAUUUUGUACAUACAAUUUUUUAAAGGGUCUCCUACUGAUAUAUAAUAAGAAUUUUAUGCCUGCAUGCAUCUUUUGCUCAUAAGAAGAGUAAAUGUAAGCAUGGCAACAUUUGUUGCCGCUAGCAUAAUACAUAGUCUAAUACAUACAUACAUAGUCAAUACUGUCGGUCAGUAUAGCCUUCUUUAACCCUUGCCUCAGGUUAAAUCAGGACCAGCUCUCCGUUUAAAGGGUUAGAUUCUAUCUGCCUAUUAGUAUUCCACCUAACAGGUUUCAGCAGAAUAAUUAAGCUGGUGUCGAGGAAUACUCGCCUAGGUCCUAACUGUCUUCUUCCAAACGUCUUACCCCUCUUACUCCAAUAAAUACUCUCUUACUAAGCA